ACACAACUCUGGAGAGUCCCGCAAGGGCGCCGAAGGUGCACGACGGCUGGAAGGCCGGUCUUAUCUCUCAGGCAAAAGGACAGAGUCA
rnacentral:ncRNA from 1 species